GCACGGGCGAGAGCUUCCGCACCGUCCUGGUUAACGCGGAUGGCGAGCGCACCGGCCGGGUUUCUCGGACCAUUGACUUUAUUUGGGGGAGUUUUCCCGCAGUUCAGUUCCUGACUGUGCAGGGCCAACAGGGCAGGGGAGGGGAAGACCCGGGGAAGGAAGAAUGAGGACAGUCCCGUCGUAAGACCUGUCACAACAAUAAGCAGGGAGGGGAGAUGUGGAGGGGACACAUCUGGUUGCCUUGGAGGCAGAAGCUGUGAGUUUCAGAACAGCUGUCUGCAGGGAACGCCACCAUGUUGACCCUCUGGAGGAGAGCGCUGUGGAGCCCCUCCCAUGUUCCAGCUCCGUCUGCCCUGUGCCUAUAUAUACACAUGCGUCUAUCCAUACUGUGCUUUUAUCUGUGAUUUUCUCGCUGAAACCAUGUUUCUCAGACAGGCCAAGGCCACCUGACUCCUAUCACGACGCACCCAAGCCCCUCAGUCCAGCUUCCCAAUGCCUGGCACCCCCCUUCGGCAAUAGCUCACCAUUUACACCCUCCCUCAUAGAUACACAGAAGUUAUUUUUUUAAUGGAUAUUUAUUUUUUUACAUUGGUCAGUAUGCAGGUCAGGAGCUCACGCCAGGGCCUUGAGGACAGGCUGACCCUCCUCCCCGGGGUGGCGUGGGGCUGGGGCACCCUCCGAUGGCAGAGCCUCCUUCAGAAAGUGCAGCUCAAGUCUUAAAGACACCAAAACUGAGCCAUGGGCACGCGCCGUCUCCGGGCCAUGGUGUUCACUGCAGGGCGGGGGCGGCACCGCUCCCCUGUGACUGCAUCCCGCCUCCCUGGGGACCUGCCUGUGGCAGGAAGGAAUGGGGGGCCCCAGCCCCAGGCCGGGAAGGAGCCAGCG
rnacentral:sRNA from 1 species